rnacentral:tRNA from 2 species
CGGGGCGUAGCGCAGUUUGGUAGCGCACCACGCUGGGGGUGUGGGGGUCGUGGGUUCGAAUCCCGCCGCCCCGACCA